CAAAGAGCUGUAAGGAGGCAGGAGAACUACCUUGUUCUUAUAUCAUGGUUGCAUCAGAGUUGUGCUCACUUGGCUUGGUUACAAGACAGUCAUCCCCUAAUAGCCCUGCUUUGCUACAUCACCCUGGCUCUGAAUGUCACAAUGGCUCCUGCCCUUCCCAGUGACCUGCCAUCACUGCAGGGCACAGAGCAGGAGCAGAGAAGCAGCACAUGUCUGGUGCCAUUGUGAGCAAAGGCUGCAUUACAACAUGUGGGAGUUGGGUUGUGUACAGGGCCGUAAGGAUCUCACUGUGACCUGUGUAAGGUCCUGAUGUGGGCGCUGAAACACAUACCCCAGCACAUGGACCCAUGAGAGAGCUAUGCUCUGUCAUUCUGCUAGCUGAGAGGAAGACCACACAGCCAGAUGUCUUUUUUGUUGUUUAAUCGUUGCUCUCUCUGACUUAGAGAAGACACCAAAUAUUCUUAUAUGCAUAAAUGUGCCUGAUGCCUUGGCUGUCCAUAUGCUAAGUCACACGUGGCUACCUCCAGGGCAACCUCAAUACAACUGUAGGGGAGGAAAGCAACUAAGACAAACUCCUGCUAAGGGGAAGAAGAGCAAUGACACAGUAAUGGAGUAUUGCAACUAUUUUUUCUUUUGCAUCUAUCUGCUUUUACUGGCACAGCAGCAGGCACAGCAAGUAUGUUGGAGAGGAAAAACCAUGCAAAAAACUCCAUUAUAUAUUGUGAUGUAACUACAUUUUCUGAACUUGCAGUUGUUCCAUAUUACAUCAUUCAAACCAGACAAAGAAACUCUCAAGGGUAUGGCAAAUACCACCAUCUCAUCUCUCCUCACCCUCCAAGGUUGUUGAAAACAGGCCAGGAAGAUACUGCAGAGAACAAGCUUCCUUUAGCAGUGGAACACACUGUAAAAUCUGACCUGCUCUUUUCCACCUUCGGAUUCUGUGAUCCAGAUGACUGGCAAAGCCCCUUGCCUAUUUGCUUUGGUAGUACAUUAAAUACUGACUCUGCCUAUCGAAGCAAUUCUCUGGCCCACAGCUGGCAUUUCCCAGGCAGCCCAAGCUGGGAAUGCAGUAGAAAGGAGCACUGAUGGAUGAGACUGAUGCCUGCAACAACCUGAGCCCCAGCAUCUGGUAGCAAAAAUUGUGAGGCUCAAUAGAUGGGCCCUGUUUGCAGUGGAAGCAAAUCCUGGCUUUUGUAGCUCCCAUCUGGCCUGAAAAUGGUUGGAGCAGUCAGCUGCCUUCAGGGAGGGAGCUCUGGGUCCCCACAGCCAUCACAGCUAUCAGGAGAUCCAGAGGGAAGGAGCAGUGUGAGCUUUAAAUCCUUGACAGCAGUUUCCUCUGAUAGUUUUUGGGUAGAAGAGGAAUUGAAAUCCCCAGAAACAUAGGGUUCCAGGUCCAGCUGAUGAACGGCUCAAAAAAGGUAAAUAUUGCUUUAACACCUACCCAGAAUCAAUCACACCAAAACACAGCAAGGCGGGUAAUAGCUGGAGAUUAGCAAUAGCCUUAAUGCUGCCACCAGAGCUCAUGUUAUUAUGGCAGAUAUUUAAAGAAUAGCAGUGUGCCACACAUCUCGACUUUCGUCUCCACCUAAUCCUUGGUGAUUAAGCACCGGACAGCAGAAGGAAUUUUGCAUGGUAAUUUCAGAUUCAGCAGAGCUGGAAUCAUCCAGAUGAAUCUAAUUCAAUCCCUCAUUGUUUCUGUGUUUUGAUUAUAGAAGCAGAAUAAAAA